AAUUCUCUGCUGAGGCUAGCCCUCACUACCUCGCGCGGCCCGCAAGGGCCCGCUUGGUUAAACCCAUUGUGAACCAAAAACAACCUUUCGCUUCGGCAGCGGUUCGUUUGUCCCCCUCAAAAGGGCGCGGAUUGUCAGCCUGUCGGCAGCACCCAAACCAAAACUCUUUUGUUUAAAACAUGAAUGUCUGAUCAAUAUUUUCGAAUGAAAAUUAAAACUUUCAACAACGGAUCUCUUGGUUCU
rnacentral:misc_RNA from 1 species